GAUAAGAUGGCUGAGUUAUAUAAGCGUUAGAUUGUAAAUCUAAAAACAAGUUUAAACUUUCUUAUUA